AGUGAACGCUGGCGGUAGGCCUAACACAUGCAAGUCGAACGGCAGCACAGGAGAGCUUGCUCUCUGGGUGGCGAGUGGCGGACGGGUGAGGAAUACAUCGGAAUCUACUCUGUCGUGGGGGAUAACGUAGGGAAACUUACGCUAAUACCGCAUACGACCUACGAGUGAAAGCAGGGGACCUUCGGGCCUUGCGCGAUUGAAUGAGCCGAUGUCGGAUUAGCUAGUUGGCGGGGUAAAUGCCCACCAAGGCGACGAUCCGUAGCUGGUCUGAGAGGAGGAUCAGCCACACUGGAACUGAGACCAGGUCCAGACUCCUACGGGAGGCAGCAGUGGGGAAUAUUGGACAAUGGGCGCAAGCCUGAUCCAGCCAUACCGCGUGGGUGAAGAAGGCCUUCGGGUUGUAAAGCCCUUUUGUUGGGAAAGAAAUCCAGCUGGCUAAUACCCGGUUGGGAUGACGGUACCCAAAGAAUAAACACCGGCUAACUUCGUGCCAGCCGCCGCGGUAA
rnacentral:rRNA from 1 species